UACGGAGGGUGCAAGCGUUAUCCGGAUUCACUGGGUUUAAAGGGAGCGUAGGUGGGCUGGUAAGUCAGUGGUGAAAUCUCCGUGCUUAACUCGGAAACUGCCGUUGAUACUAUCAGUCUUGAAUAUUGUGGAGGUAAGCGGAAUAUGUCAUGUAGCGGUGAAAUGCUUAGAUAUGACAUAGAACACCGAUAGCGAAGGCAGCUUGCUACACAAUUAUUGACACUGAGGCUCGAAAGCGUGGGGAUCAAACAGG
rnacentral:rRNA from 1 species